rnacentral:rRNA from 1 species
UUAAAAUUGUUGCAGUUAAAACGUUCGUAGUUGAAUAUUAAAGAAUCCGAUGUUUCAUUUAAACUGGUUUGGGAAAACCAAAUAUAUUAUAUAUUUUGCUUUGUUCAAAAUAAGGUUUUCUAAUAAAUUAUGUUUUUAUCAGAUAUGACAGAAUCUUUUUUAAAAUCUCUUCAAUAUGCUUUUAUUGCUUUUGAGAGGUUUUGUUACUUUGAGUAAAAUUAAGUGUUCAUAACAGACGGGUAGUCAUGAUUGAGUUCAUUGUGUUUGAAUACUACAGCAUGGAAUAACAAAUAUGAAUAAGCUAAUUAUUUUUUUUUUUCAUUAUUUUUUUUGAUAUUCUUAUUAGCUUAGUUACGAUUAAUAGGAGUAGCUUUGGGGGCAUUCGUAUUCAGAUGUCAGAGGUGAAAUUCUAAGAUUUUCUGGAGACGGACUACUGCGAAAGCAUUUGCCUAAUCUAUUUCCAUUAAUCAAGAACGAAAGUUAAGGGAGUGAAGACGAUCAGAUACCGUCGUAAUCUUAACCAUAAACUAUGCCGACUAGGUGUUGGAUGAAAGUGUUAAAAAUAAAAGUCAUCUUUCUAGGUGACUUUUAGAUUGUUGCUUCCUUCAGUACCUUAUGAGAAAUCAAAGUCUUUGGGUUCUGGGGCGAGUAUUCGCGCAAGCGAGAAAGUUAAAAGAAUUGACGGAAGGGCACCACCAGGCGUGGAGCUUGCGGCUUAAUUUGACUCAACACGGGGAAACUCACUAGUUUAAGACAAGAGUAGGAUUGACAGAUUAAUAGCUCUUUCUUGAUUUCUUGGAUGGUGAUGCAUGGCCGUUUUUAGUUCGUGAAUAUGAUUUGUCUGGUUAAUUCCGAUAACGAACGAGAUCUUAACCUGCUAAUUAGCGGCGAGUACACUAUAUUCUUAUUUGAAAUUGAACAUAGGUAACUAUACAUUUAUUCAGUAAUCAAAUUAGGAUAUUUUUAUUAAAAUAUCCUUUUCCCUGUUCUACUAAUAAUUUGUUUUUUACUCUAUUUCUCUCUUCUUUUAAGAAUGUACUUGCUUGAUUGAAAAGCUUCUUAGAGGAACAUUGUGUGUCUAACACAAGGAAGUUUAAGGCAACAACAAG